GAAAACUCAGGUCUCAGCUCAAGCACAUGGCUUCUAUGACACUCCCCCACAUACACAUGUCUAUGCUCUCUGAUGGCUUGGGGGGCUCCGACCCCCGCACCCUCUGCCUUGUGGCACUGUGCAACAAUGGCCUUUCUCUUACUGUCCUGAUUUGUGGCUGUCUCCCCACAGUGGUGAGCAAUGCCAGGGCAGGGACAGACACUUCUCCCAUGUAUGCCCAAUCCAGAGCCCUAGGCAAUCAAAGGCACUUUUGUGUUCUCCAAGGAACCUUAGGAUCUCCAGGGAAGACACUGUGAAGGAGGCGAUCCAGAUAAGUGGACAUGAGUAUCCACAACUCUCUUGGCAGCACUGAGAUGGGCUUUUAUAACUUCCCUGGAGGGAACCCACUGAAGUUCAAAAGUGAUCCCCACCAAUUCCUGACCUCUGUGUGAUCCAGAAGACGCCCUGCCAGCCACCAGCUAGCUAUGCAAGGUGGGGCCCAUGAGCCCCUCCUCCAAUGAACUACACAAGAAGGAAAUGAAAAAGAGAGAGAAAGAGAGCUCUCCAAGAGCCUGGACAGCAUUCCUCUGUAUUUAAUGGCCCUCCUCUGAGGCAGCUGCUUCCUUCAGGCAUGACUUCCCAUCUGGAUACUGGGAAGGCCUUAGGUCAGGCGUCAGCACUUUGCACCAGAGAUACUCAUGAGUUUUAACCUCCAAAGGAACAAGGCAAGAAUCCUCUUUGCUGAAGAGACUCCAAAAGAGAACAAAAAUGGAGCUUUUGGGGAAGAAGCCUGACCUGACAGGUCUCUGGUUUGCUAAGGAGACAGCAGCACCACUUGCAGGUUAGUGUGGCCCCGGGGAAGCAGAGGUUACAAUGCAGAAGGCUCCAGACACAUCAGUCCCAUCUGGAUGACAAUCUUUUGAGACACAGCCCCCCGUAGCUCCCCAUUGCCAUGAGAAGUGCAUAAGACUUGUCAACAGCGUGCCAGUCCCUUUGGACAGCUCCAAGGUCUUUUCCUCAUCAUUGUGACACAGAACAUCCAUUAAAUUUAUCUGUACACCAAGAGAAUUUAGACUCAGCAUUCAUGAAGCCUCUGCUCUUUCUAUCUGCCCUCAAGCAAUCCGCAUCAUUGAAAAGAAAUCAUUCCUGAUUCCAGCAAGUAGAUUUUGAAAUUUUCUAUCCAUCUUCAGUUAUUCUUAACCAUUCUCCUUCUUGCCCUGUGACCUGACUGGGAGCAGCCUUGAGGACCCA